rnacentral:rRNA from 1 species
UACGGAGGGAGCUAGCGUUAUUCGGAAUUACUGGGCGUAAAGCGCACGUAGGCGGCUUUGUAAGUAAGAGGUGAAAGCCCAGAGCUCAACUCUGGAAUUGCCUUUAGACUGCAUCGCUUGAAUCAUGGAGAGGUCAGUGGAAUUCCGAGUGUAGAGGUGAAAUUCGUAGAUAUUCGGAAGAAGCACCAGUGGCGAAGGCGGCUGACUGGACAUGUAUUGACGCUGAGGUGCGAAAGCGUGGGGACGCAAACAGG